CAGUGUCACAGCUCUUUUAUAAUUUGUCUAGGAGGUUUUCUGGUUUCUUCACCAGAACCCUC
rnacentral:snRNA from 1 species